AUCCCAUGACGAGGAAACUUAUGAAGUAAUUCCUUGAAUCGCUCCCAAGCCUUAUAUAAAGACUCAUCAUCCAAUUGUUGGAAAGUUGUGAUCUCGUUCCUCAACUU
rfam:Gossypium arboreum cultivar AKA8401 contig_41557_1, whole genome shotgun sequence.